rnacentral:rRNA from 1 species
UACGGGGGGGGCAAGCGUUGUUCGGAAUUACUGGGCGUAAAGGCUCGUAGGCGGCCAACUAAGUCCGACGUGAAAUCCCCAGGCUUAACCUGGGAACUGCGUCGGAUACUGGAUGGCUUGAAUUCGGGAGAGGGAUGCAGAAUUCCAGGUGUAGCGGUGAAAUGCGUAGAUAUCUGGAGGAAUACCGGUGGCGAAGGCGGCAUCCUGGACCGACAUUGACGCUGAGGCACGAAGGUCAGGGGAGCAAACGGG